rnacentral:rRNA from 1 species
AGAGUUUGAUCCUGGCUCAGGAUGAACGCUAGCGGCAGGCUUAACACAUGCAAGUCGAGGGGUAGAGUUCUUCGGAAUUUGAGACCGGCGCACGGGUGCGUAACGCGUAUGCAAUCUGCCUUCCACAGAGGGAUAGCCCAGAGAAAUUUGGAUUAAUACCUCAUAGCAUCAUGUUCCGGCAUCGGGAUAUGAUUAAAGUCACAACGGUGGAAGAUGAGCAUGCGUCCCAUUAGCUAGUUGGUAAGGUAACGGCUUACCAAGGCAACGAUGGGUAGGGGUCCUGAGAGGGAGAUCCCCCACACUGGUACUGAGACACGGACCAGACUCCUACGGGAGGCAGCAGUGAGGAAUAUUGGUCAAUGGGCGCAAGCCUGAACCAGCCAUGCCGCGUGCAGGAUGACGGUCCUAUGGAUUGUAAACUGCUUUUGUACGGGAAGAAACACUCCUACGUGUAGGAGCCUGACGGUACCGUAAGAAUAAGGAUCGGCUAACUCCGUGCCAGCAGCCGCGGUAAUACGGAGGAUCCAAGCGUUAUCCGGAAUCAUUGGGUUUAAAGGGUCUGUAGGCGGUCUUGUAAGUCAGUGGUGAAAGCCCAUCGCUCAACGGUGGAACGGCCAUUGAUACUGCAGGACU